rnacentral:rRNA from 1 species
UUCGUAGGUGGCAAGCGUUGUCCGGAAUUACUGGGUGUAAAGGGAGCGCAGGCGGGAAGCCAAGUCAGCUGUGAAAACUACGGGCUUAACUUGUAGACUGCAGUUGAAACUGGUUUUCUUGAGUGAAGUAGAGGUUGGCGGAAUUCCGAGUGUAGCGGUGAAAUGCGUAGAUAUUCGGAGGAACACCGGUGGCGAAGGCGGCCAACUGGGCUUUAACUGACGCUGAGGCUCGAAAGUGUGGGGAGCAAACAGG